rnacentral:rRNA from 1 species
CCUACGGGGGACUGCAGUCGAGAAUCAUUCACAAUGGGGGAAACCCUGAUGGUGCGACGCCGCGUGGGGGAAUGAAGGUCUUCGGAUUGUAAACCCCUGUCAUGUGGGAGCAAAUUAAAAAGAUAGUACCACAAGAGGAAGAGACGGCUAACUCUGUGCCAGCAGCCGCGGUAAUACAGAGGUCUCAAGCGUUGUUCGGAAUCACUGGGCGUAAAGCGUGCGUAGGCUGUUUCGUAAGUCGUGUGUGAAAGGCGCGGACUCAACCCGCGGACGGCACAUGAUACUGCGAGACUAGAGUAAUGGAGGGGGAACCGGAAUUCUCGGUGUAGCAGUGAAAUGCGUAGAUAUCGAGAGGAACACUCGUGGCGAAGGCGGGUUCCUGGACAUUAACUGACGCUGAGGCACGAAGGCCAGGGGAGCGAAAGGGAUUAGAUACCCGUGUAGUC